rnacentral:rRNA from 1 species
UACGUAGGGGGCAAGCGUUGUCCGGAUUUAUUGGGCGUAAAGAGCGUGUAGGCGGCCGUACAGGUCAGCUGUGAAAACUCGAGGCUCAACCUCGAGACGUCGGUUGAAACCGUACGGCUAGAGUCCGGAAGAGGAGAGUGGAAUUCCCGGUGUAGCGGUGAAAUGCGCAGAUAUCGGGAAGAACACCCGUGGCGAAGGCGGCUCUCUGGGACGGUACUGACGCUGAGACGCGAAAGCGUGGGGAGCGAACAGGA